UCUACCAGGAAAAAGCUAUCAUGCUUUUGUUGCCUGACAACACAACAGUUGCAUCUACAUGCACUGUCGUGGCACUAGAGAUCCUUGCAUGAACAUCCACCUCUAUAAAAUGAACAUUUUUCGCUCAUUUCAUCAAAACCUUUUCCUCUCAUAUUAUUUCUCUUUCUCUAUAGGCAAUGUAUUAUCUAACUUUGGUAGCUUAUUACAUAUAUUUCAAUUCAUCCAAGGUCUUUUAUUAUCUUUCUCUACUUAUCAUGGCUUUGUUUUACAUGUUUGUAUUCAAGGAAAGUGUGAGAGAUACACAAAAAUUAGCAGCUUGGGUUUGUAAGCAAGAGGCCAGGGAUUUGUUUUGUUUGCAAUUUGAAGAGAGUGCUACUACUUCAGCUGCGCAUCUUCAUGAUUCAAAUGCGUCCUAUUAUAGCUAGCUAGGGUUUCAGUGUUGUCCAGGAUCAUUGCAUGAUUCCUGUCAUCGUUUGUUUUCCUAGUUUCUGGUGCCUGGGGAGUUUCAUGGGCCAUGUAAAAACAAAUCCUAGGCAAGCAAAUCUUAUUUUACUUAUCCAACUUAAAUUGAAGAUCAGAUUUUUUGUUGUUAUAUUAAAUUAAAUAGUAAAAAUCUUAUUGGCAGGUUUUUUUAGUAUUACUUCUUCAUGAAGUAUAGCUGGUGUAGCUAUUCGCAAUUCUCCAAAAAAAAAAAAAAAAUUGCUAUACGAAAAUCCAUCUUUGAAUUUUUAAAUACUUAAAAUUAAAAAAGAAUCAAUUUUGAAGGAUAAUUUUAACUUCUUUUUAUUAAAAAAUGUUCUAUCAAUAAUCUUGCAUGUGCAAGGUGUCAAAGAACCAUCUCAACCCAAUAGUUUAAGCUUUUAGGUAAUGUUCCAAGAUAUGAUUUAUAUUAUUCUCUAACACACCCCCUCAAGUGAAAGCCCUUACAUUACCUUGUGCUUAAUUUUUAUCAAAUAAAUGGGGAUGGUGAGAUUCGAACUCGUGAUCACUUGGUCAUCAAGACUUUGAUACCAUGUCAAAAAAUCAACUCAACCUAAUAGCUUAAGCUUUUAGGUAACGUUCCAAGAUAUGAUUUAUAUUAUUAUCUAAUACAAGGCUCGUAGUGUCUUGUCUAAUGCAUAAAAUCUUAUCUUUUAAACCAUAUGUAAGAAAUGGUUAUUAGUUUACUUCGAAACCGUUCGGCUAGUGAACUAAUUAAGGUUGCUCGUCAUUGGUUCAUUAGUUGAAUUGUCGGUGCAUCAAUCAGACUAUGGUUUGUAGAUAAAUAAACACACAGAUGAGAAGGCAAAUAGACCAGCCUAGAACUAGAAGUUUGCCUUUGCUAUAAUGAGCUCCAUUUUAGUUACAAGAGUUGAUGCGACAAGUUUUAUCAAUCUGGUUUGUCA